UGAUAAUGUAGAGCAAGAAGAAGAUGUUGACACUGAUAAUAUUCAGAGUGAUGUUGUGGAGGAGCCAACUGAUGACGAGAGAUUGGACUGUGGUUUUGUUGAUGAGGUCUUAGUUGGCGAUAAUUCUUCUUACGAC